rnacentral:rRNA from 1 species
CACGUAGGCGGAUAUUUAAGUCAGGGGUGAAAUCCCAGAGCUCAACUCUGGAACUGCCUUUGAUACUGGGUAUCUUGAGUAUGGAAGAGGUAAGUGGAAUUGCGAGUGUAGAGGUGAAAUUCGUAGAUAUUCGCAGGAACACCAGUGGCGAAGGCGGCUUACUGGUCCAUUACUGACGCUGAGGUGCGAAAGCUGGGGAGCAAACA